UCCCUCUCCCUUCCAUAUCUUUCUCUCUCCCUUCCAUAUCUCUCCCUCUCCCUUCCAUAUCUCUCCCUCUCCCUUCCAUAUCUCUCCCUCUCCCUUCCUACUUCUACACAUCUCCUUCCCUACCUACAGGCUAUGAACACUGAACUAAAGAAACAAGACAUAAUGGCCUGUCUACCUACAGGCUAUGAACACUGAACUAAAGAAACGAGAUGAUCGAUGGCCUGUCUACCUACAGGCUAUGAACACUGAACUAAAGAAACGAGACGUUAUGGCCUGUCUACCUACAGGCUAUGAACACUGAACUAAAGAAACGAGACAUAAUGGCCUGUCUACCUACAGGCUAUAAACACUGAACUAAAGAAACGAGACGUUAUGGCCUGUCUACCUACAGGCUAUGAACACUGAACUAAAGAAACGAGAUGAUCGAUGGCCUGUCUACCUACAGGCUAUGAACACUGAACUAAAGAAACGAGACGUUAUGGCCUGUCUACCUACAGGCUAUGAACACUGAACUAAAGAAACGAGAUGAUAAUGGCCUGUCUACCUACAGGCUAUAAACACUGAACUAAAGAAACGAGACAUUAUGGCCUGUCUACCUACAGGCUAUGAACACUGAACUAAAGAAACAAGACGAUCGAUGGUACUAGUAGUUUCUCCGCUGAUUUCAAUAAUCAUGUAUCAGGUUCGUGUUCUGAACUCUCAACUCGCUGCCGCAUACCGGAUCAAAGUGAGAUGGAGGAACUCCUGAAACUUUUCUUGGCUCAGAGAAAUGCCGAUGCCUACUUCAAUGGAUGUUGAUGAGGUCCACAACAUGGUUCUGUGGUCCAGUUCCUGUAUUGAAGUGGUGUGGAAUGGUUGGUGAGCUGGGGUCACUCCUACCAGGUCCAGUAUUAGCCAUCACAGCUACAGCUUCCAAGGCUACAAGGAAGAGCAGAAUGUGUCUUCUGACCCGGUAGAGACGUUUUCACAAUUGCUCACAGAGUUGGAGUCAAAGCGGCCUGAGACCCCAAGGCAGCCAAACCUCCGACGAGCCAGGUGAUGUAGAUCCAUCAUGGCGUCCCGGGGAUCCGAGGUGAUGCAGUUGCGUUAUGACGCAGGUGAAAACCUGCGGCUGUGGGACGCGCUGGGCGGACGGCUGAGCUGUGAUUGGUCGGUUGGGGCAGCAGCUCGUUGCUACGAACAAGCUGUAGCAACGCAGUAGUAUCGACCAGACAGGCUCAGAACAGCACGAUUCUUCAAAACUA